CCAGGCAGGAGACAGAAGGUGGAGGGGCUUGGCCUCUGCAAAACAGCUUCUUUCCCACCUCGAGGGCUUUGCUCAGGCCAUGCCUCCUCCCUGCUUCUCUCUCCUCACAGACGUGCCCGGUCUCAAAUGACUCUGCAAAGUCUCUUCGAUUAAUGACGCCAUGAAGAGAUUGCCAUGGGCCCCACGGCCUGGUCUACCCUUUGGGCCUUUCAUCCUCUAAUCUGUGGUGUGGUUGGCUGUCCGUAUGUGAAUAUCUCUAAGGUCCCUGUCAGCACGGACGGUGCCACUGCUGAAAAAGGAAAAUCAAAGAACUAUUCCAGCUGCUCUCAUCUGACAGAAGAGGAAAUAGGCCCAAUUAAGGCCCUUUCUUGCUGCAAGUAUCAUAGGGAACACACGAGGCCAGUGCAGGUUCCGGGCUGCUAGAGAGACUAUUGUUUAGUUUUCAAUUGUGUGGUGCCAGGACACUGAAUGGAGGAGGAUAAAUUGGGAUGGAUGGGAAGGCAGCUGUGGCCCAGUCUACACCAAAUAUAGGUGGAUACUUCUACUCUGAGGAGCAACCCAGUCUACCAGAAUCAGCUGGUGUUUGAAUCCCACUCCACCACUGAAUGGCCUUGGACAAGUCACUUUGGCACCCAUGAAAUGAGGACAGCAACACCUACUGCAUCAGAUUAUGGUGAAGCUAAAUGUACGAUGCAUACAAAGUACUUAAGAUGAUAUUUGGUGCAUAGAAAAAGGCUUUGUAAACCCAUAAUCCAACCACAUGUACUCUUCUAAAGAAAAAUAAUCACACCAAGAAUAGGAAUUUGCCAAAUAAGAUGUAAGCAAUACCAAAUAUUUUUUAAAUCAAAAUUUUAUAGUAACACAAACUAACCCCAGAUCCUGGCCUGCUUAAUAAAUCUCCUAUAAAGCUGA